UAGGGAAUCUUCGGCAAUGGACGAAAGUCUGACCGAGCAACGCCGCGUGAGUGAAGAAGGUUUUCGGAUCGUAAAACUCUGUUGUUAGAGAAGAACAAGGACGUUAGUAACUGAACGUCCCCUGACGGUAUCUAACCAGAAAGCCACGGCUAACUACGUGCCAGCAGCCGCGGUAAUACGUAGGUGGCAAGCGUUGUCCGGAAUUAUUGGGCGUAAAGCGAGCGCAGGCGGUUUCUUAAGUCUGAUGUGAAAGCCCCCGGCUCAACCGGGGAGGGUCAUUGGAAACUGGGAGACUUGAGUGCAGAAGAGGAGAGUGGAAUUCCAUGUGUAGCGGUGAAAUGCGUAGAUAUAUGGAGGAACACCAGUGGUGAAGGCGGCUCUCUGGUCUGUAACUGACGCUGAGGCUCGAAAGCGUGGGGAGCAAACAGG
rnacentral:rRNA from 1 species